GCCUUCGUGGUGUAAUGGUCAGCACACUGAGCCGGUAUUUCAGAGGUCCGUGGUUCGAUCCCCGCCGAAGGAA
rnacentral:tRNA from 1 species